UACAGAGGGUGCAAGCGUUAAUCGGAAUUACUGGGCGUAAAGCGUGCGCAGGCGGCUUUGCAAGACAGAUGUGAAAUCCCCGGGCUCAACCUGGGAACUGCAUUUGUGACUGCAAGGCUAGAGUACGGCAGAGGGGGAUGGAAUUCCGCGUGUAGCAGUGAAAUGCGUAGAUAUGCGGAGGAACACCAAUGGCGAAGGCAAUGCCCUGGGCCUGUACUGACGCUCAUGCACGAAAGCGUGGGGAGCAAACAGG
rnacentral:rRNA from 1 species